rnacentral:rRNA from 1 species
AGAGUUUGAUCCUGGCUCAAGAACGAACGCUGGCGGCAGGCUUAACACAUGCAAGUCGAACGGUUGUAGCAAUACAGCAGUGGCAGACGGGUGAGUAACACGUGGGAACCUUCCUAGGGGUACGGAACAACUCAGGGAAACUUGAGCUAAUACCGUAAACGUCCGUGAGGAGAAAGAUUUAUCGCCCUUAGACGGGCCCGCGUCGGAUUAGCUAGUUGGUGGGGUAACGGCCUACCAAGGCGACGAUCCGUAGCUGAUCUUAGAGGAUGAUCAGCCACACUGGGACUGAGACACGGCCCAGACUCCUACGGGAGGCAGCAGUGGGGAAUCUUGGACAAUGGGCGCAAGCCUGAUCCAGCCAUGCCGCGUGAGUGAAGAAGGUCUUCGGAUUGUAAAGCUCUUUUGCCAGGGACGAUAAUGACGGUACCUGGAGAAUAAGCCCCGGCAAACUUCGUG